CCAAGCUUGUUUAAAGAAGUACACACAUUAUGAAGCAAUAUGGGUUAUAAGAUAAGAAUAGCUUCAGCCAACUGUAGAGGCCUGGCAGAAAAGACAAAACGUAAAGAAAUAUUGAACUUUUGGCGUAAAAGAAAGUUUUCAAUUAUAUGUUUGCAAGAUAUUCAUAUUUCUAAGGAAGAUGAAACUACUAUGAGAAAUGAAUGGGGUCUUCAAAGCAUUAUAGCACCAUAUAAAUCAAACGCAAG